AGAGUUAAAUAGUACGUGAAAUUGUUGAAAGGGAAACGAUUGAAGUCAGUCAUGCCGGCGGGAAUCAACUUAGAGGAAACUUUAAGUGCACUUCACGUUUGGUAGGUUAGUGUCGAUUUUGGAUGUCAUAAAAUGAUUGGGGGAAGGUAGCUCCUUCGGGAGUGUUAUAGCCCUUGAUAGAUGUGAUGUCUGGGAUCGAGGAUUGCAACGGAUAUCCUUUGGGCUAAUCGCCUGAUCUCUAACUGGUGUUGGGUUACGGACAGCAUGCUGACCGUGAUUUAAUUAUUGGUUAAAAGGUUAGAGCGAGUGUAAAUUCGUUAAGGACGCUAACGUAAUAGCUUUAAACGA
rnacentral:misc_RNA from 1 species